AUCCAGCUGACGAGUCCUAAAUAGGACGACACACGCACCCUGUAU
rnacentral:hammerhead_ribozyme from 1 species